GACGAACGCUGGCGGCGUGCUUAACACAUGCAAGUCGAACGGAAAGGCCCUGCUUUUGUGGGCUGCUCGAGUGGCGAACGGGUGAGUAACCCGUGAGUAACCUGCCCUUGACUUUGGGAUAACUUAAGGACACUGGGGCUAAUCCCGGCUAGGAGCUCCUGCUGCAUGGUGGGGGUUGGAAAGUUUCGGCGGUUGGGGAUGGACUCGCGGCGUAUUAGCUUGUUGGUUGGGUAGUGGAUUACCAAGGCUAUGACGGGUAGCCGGGCUGGGAGGGUGAGAGGACACGUCAGGACUGAGAUAAGACACAGACUCCUACGGGAGGCAGCGGUGGAGAAUAUUGCACAAUGGGCGGAAGCAUGAUGCAGCAACGCCGCGUGCGGGAUGACGGCCUUCGGGUUGGAAACCGCUUCCGCCUGUGACGAAACGUGAGUGACAGUACCGGGUAAAGAAGCACCGGCUAACUACGUG
rnacentral:rRNA from 1 species